rnacentral:tRNA from 1 species
CAGAAAAUAGUUUAAGUAAAAUAUUAGUUUUGGGGACUAGAGAUGGGAGGUACUUUCUUUUCUGA